CGGACGGGUGAGUAAUGUCUGGGAAACUGCCUGAUGGAGGGGGAUAACUACUGGAAACGGUAGCUAAUACCGCAUAAUGUCGCAAGACCAAAGAGGGGGACCUUCGGGCCUCUUGCCAUCGGAUGUGCCCAGGUGGGAUUAGCUUGUUGGUGGGGUAACGGCUCACCAAGGCGACGAUCCCUAGCUGGUCUGAGAGGAUGACCAGCCACA
rnacentral:rRNA from 1 species